rnacentral:rRNA from 1 species
GGCUCAGGAUGAACGCUAGCGACAGGCUUAACACAUGCAAGUCGAGGGGCAGCACAGGUAGCAAUACCGGGUGGCGACCGGCGCACGGGUGAGUAACGCGUAUGCAACUUGCCUAUCAGAGGGGGAUAACCCGGCGAAAGUCGGACUAAUACCGCAUGAAGCAGGGGCCCCGCAUGGGGAUAUUUGCUAAAGAUUCAUCGCUGAUAGAUAGGCAUGCGUUCCAUUAGGCAGUUGGCGGGGUAACGGCCCACCAAACCGACGAUGGAUAGGGGUUCUGAGAGGAAGGUCCCCCACAUUGGUACUGAGACACGGACCAAACUCCUACGGGAGGCAGCAGUGAGGAAUAUUGGUCAAUGGGCGUAAGCCUGAACCAGCCAAGUCGCGUGAGGGAUGAAGGUUCUAUGGAUCGUAAACCUCUUUUAUAAGGGAAUAAAGUGCGGGACGUGUCCCGUUUUGUAUGUACCUUAUGAAUAAGGAUCGGCUAACUCCGUGCCAGCAGCCGCGGUAAUACGGAGGAUCCGAGCGUUAUCCGGAUUUAUUGGGUUUAAAGGGUGCGUAGGCGGCCUUUUAAGUCAGCGGUGAAAGUCUGUGGCUCAACCAUAGAAUUGCCGUUGAAACUGGGGGGCUUGAGUAUGUUUGAGGCAGGCGGAAUGCGUGGUGUAGCGGUGAAAUGCAUAGAUAUCACGCAGAACCCCGAUUGCGAAGGCAGCCUGCCAAGCCAUUACUGACGCUGAUGCACGAAAGCGUGGGGAUCAAACAGGAUUAGAUACCCUGGUAGUCCACGCAGUAAACGAUGAUCACUAGCUGUUUGCGAUACACUGUAAGCGGCACAGCGAAAGCGUUAAGUGAUCCACCUGGGGAGUACGCCGGCAACGGUGAAACUCAAAGGAAUUGACGGGGGCCCGCACAAGCGGAGGAACAUGUGGUUUAAUUCGAUGAUACGCGAGGAACCUUACCCGGGUUUGAACGCAUUCGGACCGAGGUGGAAACACCUUUUCUAGCAAUAGCCGUUUGCGAGGUGCUGCAUGGUUGUCGUCAGCUCGUGCCGUGAGGUGUCGGCUUAAGUGCCAUAACGAGCGCAACCCUUGCCACUAGUUACUAACAGGUAAAGCUGAGGACUCUGGUGGGACUGCCAGCGUAAGCUGCGAGGAAGGCGGGGAUGACGUCAAAUCAGCACGGCCCUUACAUCCGGGGCGACACACGUGUUACAAUGGCGUGGACAAAGGGAGGCCACCUGGCGACAGGGAGCGAAUCCCCAAACCACGUCUCAGUUCGGAUCGGAGUCUGCAACCCGACUCCGUGAAGCUGGAUUCGCUAGUAAUCGCGCAUCAGCCAUGGCGCGGUGAAUACGUUCCCGGGCCUUGUACACACCGCCCGUCAAGCCAUGGGAGCCGGGGGUACCUGAAGUCCGUAACCGCGAGGAUCGGCCUAGGGUAAAACUGGUGACUGG